GGGCGGCGGGGGCGGGGGUGCCUAUACAUGCAGUCGAGCGAAUUGAUGGGAGCUUGCUCCCCUGAUAUUAGCGGCGGACGGGUGAGUAACACGUGGGUAACCUGCCUGUAAGAUUGGGAUAACUCCGGGAAACCGGAGCUAAUACCGGAUAACAUGUUGAACCGCAUGGUUCAACAUUGAAAGAUGGCUUUUGCUAUCACUUACAGAUGGACCCGCGGCGCAUUAGCUAGUUGGUGAGGUAACGGCUCACCAAGGCAACGAUGCGUAGCCGACCUGAGAGGGUGAUCGGCCACACUGGGACUGAGACACGGCCCAGACUCCUACGGGAGGCAGCAGUAGGGAAUCUUCCGCAAUGGACGAAAGUCUGACGGAGCAACGCCGCGUGAACGAUGAAGGCCUUCGGGUCGUAAAGUUCUGUUGUUAGGGAAGAACAAGUACCAGAGUAACUGCUGGUACCUUGACGGUACCUAACCAGAAAGCCACGGCUAACUACGUGCCAGCAGCCGCGGUAAUACGUAGGUGGCAAGCGUUGUCCGGAAUUAUUGGGCGUAAAGCGCGCGCAGGUGGUUUCUUAAGUCUGAUGUGAAAGCCCACGGCUCAACCGUGGAGGGUCAUUGGAAACUGGGGAACUUGAGUGCAGAAGAGGAAAGUGGAAUUCCAAGUGUAGCGGUGAAAUGCGUAGAGAUUUGGGAGGAACACCAGUGGCGAAAGCGACUUUCUGGUCUGUAACUGACACUGAGCGCGAAAGCGUGGGGAGCGAACAGGAUUAGAUACCCUGGUAGUCCACGCCGUAAACGAUGGAGUGCUAAGUGUUAGAAGGGUUCCGCCCCUUUAUGCUGCAGCAAACGCAUAGCACUCCGCCUGGGGGAGUACGUCGCAGACUGAACUCAAAGAUUGACGGGGCCCGCACAGCGGUGGGAGCAUGGUGAUUAAUCGAGCACCGCGGAGAUCGUUACAGGUCUGGACAUUCCCACUUGCCAGGUAUAAAGGAAUAUACCUGCUUCCGAACUGGUACCGUGGUCAUGGUUUGCGUUCGCUCUG
rnacentral:rRNA from 1 species